UUAAGUCCGUAACGAGCGCAACCCUUGUCCUUAGUUACCAGCACGUUAUGGUGGGCACUCUAAGGAGACUGCCGGUGACAAACCGGAGGAAGGUGGGGAUGACGUCAAGUCAUCAUGGCCCUUACGGCCUGGGCUACACACGUGCUACAAUGGUCGGUACAAAGGGUUGCCAAGCCGCGAGGUGGAGCUAAUCCCAUAAAACCGAUCGUAGUCCGGAUCGCAGUCUGCAACUCGACUGCGUGAAGUCGGAAUCGCUAGUAAUCGUGAAUCAGAAUGUCACGGUGAAUACGUUCCCGGGCCUU
rnacentral:rRNA from 1 species